UUUCCGUAGGUGAACCUGCGGAAGGAUCAUUAAUGAGUUGUCAUGGGGUUCGAUGCUGGCAGCCAGUUUUUGGAUGCAUGUGCUUGCCCUAACAAUCAUCUUCUUCCAAACACCUGUGCACAUUUUUGAGGGAUUCUUGAGUUGGUUGCCGCUCUUGGGUGAUUUUCUCACAUUCCCUUAAAUCAUUAUACGCUAUUAACAAUGUUGAACGUGCUCUGUGCCGCAAGGCCAUUAAUAUAAUACAACUUUUAACAACGGAUCUCUUGGCUCUC
rnacentral:misc_RNA from 1 species